UCUCCGUAGGUGAACCUGCGGAGGGAUCAUUACAGAGUUCCCGCGCUCGGGGGUCGGUCUCCCACCCACUGUUAUCGUUACUGUCGUUUCUUUUGCGGGCCGCCGGGCCCCCGGCCGCCGGCGUCCAAUAGGCGGCGCGCGCCCGCCAGCGUCAUUCGAACCCUGAGUGUUAGUGUCGUCUAAGUACUAUAUAAUAGUUAAAACUUUCAACAACGGAUCUCUUGGUUCUG
rnacentral:misc_RNA from 1 species